UACGGAGGGGGCUAGCGUUGUUCGGAAUUACUGGGCGUAAAGCGCACGUAGGCGGCUAUUCAAGUCAGAGGUGAAAGCCCGGGGCUCAACCCCGGAACAGCCUUUGAAACUAGAUAGCUUGAAUCAUGGAGAGGUCAGUGGAAUUCCGAGUGUAGAGGUGAAAUUCGUAGAUAUUCGGAAGAACACCAGUGGCGAAGGCGGCUGACUGGACAUGUAUUGACGCUGAGGUGCGAAAGCGUGGGGAGCAAACAGU
rnacentral:rRNA from 1 species